UUUCACUAGGGGUGCUCAAUCAAUUGAGCUGAGAUUAGCAUAGUGUUUGCUUAAACCCUCAGGACCUGAUCUGGCUAGUACCAGCGUAGGGAAGUAAAAAAUCA
rnacentral:ncRNA from 1 species